rnacentral:snoRNA from 14 species
GUUGAUGAUGAACUCGCUUGUUGCUGAAGGGUGAUGAAGGGCAUACUGGCUGAUU